rnacentral:piRNA from 2 species
UGGACUGUCCCGCCAUUUGGGCUGUGGAAUC